rnacentral:lncRNA from 1 species
GGCUUAUUACUAUGUUAUAACCCAACUCAAGGUGAGGGGUUAUCCUUCCAAAGGACAGAAUUUCAGGCAGUGAUGAUCAUCCACUUGUGUAGGAAAAAAACUGACCCAAGGUAAGUGUAUGUGCAGAAUCUUGGGGUGAGAUGUUCAGGUGAGAGAAGGGGGUUCAGAAUGGUCAAGGGUUUAGGAGGAAAAAGAAUGAAAGACUGGAUUCAAGGAAGUCUGGGGAAGAGGCAAGUAGAUGGACCCCAGAUUCUCAGAGCCCAUUCAUUUCCUAGGGAUCAUGAGCUACCCAUACCUUACUUUGUCCUUAUUUAUUCAAUUGGCUUUUUUGUUCUCACAAGAUUGCCAGACAUGGGGGUAAGUGAUGAGAUUACAGAAGCAAAUUAAACUAGGUCUCUAUCCUCAAGGAGUUGACUCUCUAAGGAAAACAGGCAUGUAAACAACUAACUGGAGUACAGUGUGAUCCAUGAUACUAUUUAAAGUAAAGGACAACGUGCUGCAAGAAUACAGACUAAACAGUGAGGAUAAAGAAAAACUUCAUGGAAGAUGGAACACUUUAACUUAUAUAACACAUCAAGUAUAACAUUUUUAAGGGGAAAAAAAAGAUCUCAGGAUAUUUACUCAUGUACUGCUUUUUAGCACCACGCAAAAUAGGGAUUGGUUGGUGGUCAUCAGGGUACUGUAGAAGGGUUGUUCUCAUGCACAAGAAUCAUGCGGAAAGAAUCUUCCUAGCUUUCCCUCCCACGAGAAUUAUGUACACUUGACUUGGCACAGAACAGACCUGAAGUAAAACCCUGACAUGGCCCUAACACCUUUGAAAUUUAGAAGCUUUAAGAUAUACUAACCUGAGUUACUAAAGAUCCUAAAGAAAUUUAGCUCAAUUGAGCCCUAUUGAUAGAUGUAAUAAUUGUUGGCUCUUCUAAACAUUGAGCCAUUAUUUCUAGAAAGUUAUUUUGAACUUUGCAAUUUUUUUUGUUAAAUGAUUUAUAGAGGUCAACUUAAUUAACCUCUAGACUGGCUUCAUUGAUGUACACAAUCUUUAGUCCAGGAGAACUUAAAUGUGAAUACCAUUAUAGAUAAGUGGCUUAAAAAUUUUUCUACCAUGUUACUGGUACAAAAACAGACACAUAGACCAAUAGAACAGAAUAGAGAUAUCAGAAAUAAGACCUCACAUCUACAACCAUCUGAUCUUCAACAAACUUGACAAAAACAAGCAAUGGGGAAAGGAUUCCCUAUUUACUAAAUGGUGACGGGAAAACUGGCUAGCUAUAUGCGGAAGAUCAAAACUGGACCCCUUCCUUACACCUUUUACAAAAAUUAACUCAAGAUGAAUUAAAGACUUAAAUAUAAAAUCCAAAACUAUAAAAAUCCUAGAAGAAAAUUUAGACAAUACCAUUCAGGACAUAGGCACGGGCAAAGAUUUCAACAGAAAAACAAAAACAAAAACAAAAGCCAAAAUUGGCAAAUGGGAUCUAAUUAAACUAAAGAGCUUCUGCACAGCAAAAGAAACUAUCAUCAGAGUGAACAGACAACCUAAGAAUGGAGAAAAAUGUUGCAAUCUAUUCAUCUGACAUAGAUUUAAUAUCCAGAAGGAACUUAAACAAGUUUACAAGAAAAAAACAAACAACCCCAUUAAAAAGCGGGCAAAGUACAUGAACAGACACUUCUCAAAAGAAGACAUUAUGCAGCCAACAAACAUAUGAAUAAAAGCUCAACAUCACUGAUCAUUAGAAAAAUGCAUAUCAAAACCACAAUGAGAUACAGUCUCACGCCAGUCAGAAUGGCAAUUGUUAAAACGUCAACAAACAACAGAUGCUGGCAAGGCUGUGGAGAAAUAGGAACACUUUUACACUGUUGGUGGGCAUGUAAUUUAGUUCAAUCAUUAUGUAAGACAGUGUGGUGAUUCCUCAAAGACCUAGAAUCAGAAAUACCAUUUGACUCAGCAAUCCCAUUGCUGGGUAUAUACCCAAAGGAAUACAAAUCUUUCUAUUAUAAAAAUACAUGCAUGCACCGUUCACAAUAGCAAAGACAUGGAAUCAACCCAAACGCCCAUCAAUGAUAGACUGGAUAAAGAAAAUGUGGUACAUAUACACCAUGGAAUACUAUGAAGUAAUAAAAAGGAAUAAGAGCUUGUCCUUUGCAGAAACAUGGAUGCAGCUGAAAGCCAUUAUCCUCAGCAACGUUACACAGGAACAGAAAACCAAACACCACAUGUUCUCACUUCUAAGUGGGAGCUGAACAUGGACACAGUGAGGGGAACAAUGCACACUGAGGCCUCUCAGGGGAGAGGUGGGAGGGAGAGCAUCAGGAUAAAUAGCUAACGCAUGUGGGGCUUAAUAUCUAGGUGAUGGGUUGUAACAAACCUGCACAUCCUGUAUGUACAUACCAGGACUUAAAAUUAAAUUAAAUUAAAAUUUAAAAAAAAUUCUACCAUGACCAAGAGUAAGAAAUAUAAUUUAUACAAUCACCAAGAUACAUAGACAUAUAUGUAUACAUAUAUUUAUAUAUUUAUAUGCUCACAUACUUAUAUAUCUAAAACAAAAUUGCACAAAAUUGGACUUUUAUUUGAAAAGAGAAAUGUAUAUUUUCUCAUAUACAUAUAUAUAUAUAUAAUAUAUAUAUAUAUAUGCAGUCAACUCUCAUUAUUCAUGGUAGUUAUUUUCUAUAAAGUCACCAUGAACACUGAAUUAGCUAAACCAUUGCUCAAACAGGAAAUACAGGGUUAGAUUCCUCUGAAUUUCAGGUACAAUGUUUUCCUCAACUGAUCAAUACAUAUUCUUGUUUUGUGUGUGUUUCUGUUUCAAGACAUCUAAUUUAAUAUAUGUUGUUGAUUCAUUAACAUUGAACUCACAGCUAACAGCAUUAUGGCUCAUGCCUGAACAAAGUUUAUCAAAUACAUUUUCUCCAUAAGGUACAUGACAGCCUUCUUGCACUUAGGAAUGUUAGAAACACUUCAACACUACAUUUUAAACAGUGAAAUUACCAACAAAAUGUGCAAAAAUGCACAAAAACAUGACACUAAAUGGAUUGUAAAAAGGACAUUUAUUUACAGUAUGAGAGCUGAAACAAGAAGGUAGAGCAUCACCUUGCUUGUCCUCAGCUGGAAAAAUGUGAGUUGAGCAACUCAAAUUUUUCUGUGCUCUGUGUAUACCUGCAAAUGACUGUAAAAGCAGCAUUAAUAUUGACUUUGGAGUUACAAAUACAUUUUUGUAAGUAGACAAAUUUGCAAGUAUUGAAUCCACAAAUGAGGACCAACUAUAAACAUAUGUGUGUGUGUGUAUAAGUGUGUGUAUACCAUUGUUUAAGCUUGCAUGCAAAAUUAGCAAAAUAUAAAAACAUGCAAACAUUGAACCAAAGAGGUAAAAGUUUCCUAUGAGGGAAACUAAAAAACACUGAUUAAAGAAAUUGUAGAUAACACAAACAAAUGGAAAAACACCUCAUGCACAUGGAUUGGAAGGAACAUUCAUUAAAAUGAACAUACUGCCCAAGGAAAUCUACAGAUUCAAUGCAAUUCCUAUCAAAAUAUCAAUGUCAUUUUUCAUAGAAUUAGAAAAAGCAAUCCUAAAAUUCAUAUAGAACCAAAAAAGAGACCAAAUAGCCCAAGCAGUCCUAAGCAAAAAGAACAAAGCUGGAAUCAUCACAUUACCUGACUUUAAAUUAUGCUACAAGACUAUAGUAAUCAAAACAGCAUAGUACUAGUAUAAAAAUAGACACAUAGAUCAAUGGAUCAGAAUGAAGAACUCAGAAAUAAAGCCACAUACCUAUAGCCAGCUGAUCUUCAACAAAGUCAACAAAAACAUACACUGGAGAAAGGCCAUCCUGUUCAAUAAAUGGGGCUGGAAAAAUUGGAUAGCCACAUGCAGAAAAAUAAAACUGGACCUUUCCUGCUAGUGAAGUUUCUUAAAAAAUAAAAAUAAAAAAAGAGAAAAAAAGAAACUAGAUCUAUAUCUCUCACCAUAUUAAAAAAAUUAACUCCAGAUGGAUUAAAGACUUAAAUGUAUAACCUGAAACUUAUAAAGUACAAAUUCUAAAUAAAAUAAAUAAAUAAAUAAAUAAAGAUUCUAGAAGAAAACGUAGAAAAAACUCUUCUAGACAUUGGCCUAGACAAAGAAUUCAUGACUAAAACCUCAGAAGCAAAUGCAUCAAAAAUACAAAGUAGACAAAUGGGACUUAAUUAAACUAAAAAAUUUCUACAUGGCAAGAGAAAUAAUCAACAGGAUGAACAGACAACCUACAGGAUUGAGAAAUUAUUUGCAAACUGCGCAUCUGACAAAGGCCUAAUAUCCACCAGAAUCUACAAGGAACUCAAACAACUCAAUAAGAAAAAAGCAAAUAACCUCAUUAAAAAGUGGGCAAAUUAUAUGAAGAUAUAUUUCAUAAGAAGACACACAAAUAGCCAACAAGCACUUGACAGAACAUUCAACAUCAGUAAUCAUCACAGAAGUGCAAAUUGAAACCACAAAGAGAUACCAUCUUACACCAGUCAGAAUGGCUAUCAUUAGAAAGUCUAAAAAUAACAGAUGUUGGCAAGAAUGCGGAGAAACAGGAACACCUAUACGCUGUUGUUGGGAAUAAAUUAGUACAACCUCUAUGGAAUACAGUAUGGAGAUUUCUUGAAGAACUAAACAUAGAACUAUCAUUCCACCCAGCAAUCCCACUACUGUGUAUCCACCCAAAGGAAAUCAAAUCAUUAAAUGAAAAAGACAUCUGUACUCGGAUAUUUAUCACAGCACUAUUCACAAUAGCAGAGUCAUGGAGACAAUCUAGAUGCCCAUCAGUGGAUGAUUAAACAAAGGAAAUGUGGUAUGGAAAUACUGUAGCACACUACUUAGUCAUAAAAAAAAGAAUGAAAUCAUGUUUUUUGCAGCAACAUGAAUGAAACAGGAGGCCAUUAUCUUAAGUGAAAUAACUCAGAAACAGAAACUCAAGUACCUCAUGUUCUCCCUUAUAAGUGGGGGCUAAAUAAUGUGUACACAUGGAUACAGAAAGUGGAAUAACAGACAAUGGAGACUCAGAAAGGCCGGAGGGUGGGAGGAGUGUGAGGGAUGACAAAUUACUUAAUGGCUACAAUGCACACUAUUCAGGUGAUGGUUACACUAAAAGCCCAGACUUCACUGCUACACAAUAUAACUGUGUAACCAAACUGCACUUGCACCCCUUAAAUCUACAAAAAUAAAU